rnacentral:rRNA from 1 species
AUUGAACGCUGGCGGCAUGCCUUACACAUGCAAGUCGAACGGCAGCACGGGAGCAAUCCUGGUGGCGAGUGGCGAACGGGUGAGUAAUAUAUCGGAACGUGCCCAGUCGUGGGGGAUAACGCAGCGAAAGCAGUGCUAAUACCGCAUACGACCUACGGAUGAAAGCGGGGGAUCGCAAGACCUCGCGCGAUUGGAGCGGCCGAUAUCAGAUUAGCUAGUUGGUGGGGUAAAGGCCCACCAAGGCGACGAUCUGUAGCUGGUCUGAGAGGACGACCAGCCACACUGGAACUGAGACACGGUCCAGACUCCUACGGGAGGCAGCAGUGGGGAAUUUUGGACAAUGGGCGAAAGCCUGAUCCAGCAAUGCCGCGUGCAGGACGAAGGCCUUCGGGUUGUAAACUGCUUUUGUACGGAACGAAACGGUCUCUUCUAAUAAAGGGGGCUAAUGACGGUACCGUAAGAAUAAGCACCGGCUAACUACGUGCCAGCCGCCGCGGUAA